UUUUAUUUCUUAUCUGUAAUGAGUUUCCCUUCCUUCUCAAGGACGCUUCAUUUCCGGAAAAUUCAUUUUAUAUUUUAAGGGGGCAUGCAACUUACCGUAGUAUAAAAUAGUAUUAGCAGGUUUUUCCACACUACAGCGUUUCUUGAACAACACUCAAGACAUUCAACAACUAAUCUGCAUGUUACAGAUGAUGAACAGGAGCAAGGACGCUACAUCAGUGCAAAGUGAGAAUGUGCGUUUGUCUA